rnacentral:rRNA from 1 species
CCUACGGGUGGCAGCAGUGAGGAAUAUUGCACAAUGGGGGGAACCCUGAUGCAGCGACGCCGCGUGAGUGAAGAAGUCCUUCUGUAUGUAAAGCUCUUUCAGCAGGGCAGAAAAUGACGGUACCUGACUAGGAAGCCCCGGCUAACUCCGUGCCAGCAGCCGCGGUAAUACGUAGGGGGCAGGCGUUCUCCGGAUUUACUGGGUGUAAAGGGAGCGUAGACGGUGAUGCAAGUCAGAAGUGAAAGCACGGGGCUCAACCCCGGGACUGCUUUUGAAACUGUGUGACUGGAGUGCAGGUGCGGUAGGCGGAAUUCGUGGUGUAGCGGUGAAAUGCGUAGAUAUCAGGAGGAACACCGGUGGCGAAGGCGGCUUACUGGACCGUAACUGACGUUGAGGCUCGAAAGCGUGGGGAGCAAACAGGAUUAGAUACCCCGGUAGUC